rnacentral:lncRNA from 1 species
AAUCCGCCUGCUGCUCAGGGCCCUCCUCAGGGUGCCCAGCUCUCCACCAGCGGCUCCAUCGUCGGCUUGGGACGCAGAUGGCCUCAGAGGUCACCACCGGGGAGCGCAGGGAGGGGUCCACUGAGUGUCCAGGUCCUUGGGGGCCGCUCAGGGCUCGGCUGCCCUUCAUUCCCCCGCUGGUGGGUCCCGGGCCGCUUCCCCUUCGGCUUCCACCCCACCCCAUGAGGGGCCCUUUCCAGUUGUCUUCCCCACAAGCGUUUUCCCAGGGCCUCCGAUGCACCUGCCCUCAGCCUCGGCCCUCCGCCUUCUCUGCCGCCCUCCCCCAGUGCUCACACACCCAGUGCUCACCCGCUGCAUCAGAACCCUGCUCCGCAGGAUACGGCCCUGCCGUCCUGCGGACGCUGCGUCCCCAGCGCCCACAGCAGAAACCGAGGGUUGUUGGUGCCGCGGUGGUCGAUGUCAUGGCACAGGCCGGCUGUCACCAUGGCGAAGGCCUCCAGGAACCGCACCAGGACCUGGGGGAGCCGAGAGGACACAGGGCUCCGGCGGCAAGCGUGUAAGUCCCGCCAGAGCGGCACCUGUGGCUGACUUCACAGUGGAAGCCCUGCUCCGUGCCAUCAUCCCCACACCGUCUCCUGGACUUCCCGAUCUUCCCCAUCCCUGCGUUUCCCACUGGCCUCUGCUGGCCUUCCUGGGUAGGGGCUGCCACAUUGGCACCUAUGGGGUGGAGCCAGGUAGGGCAGGAGCUGAGAACAGCCCCAGCCUUCAGGGGCCGCCCAGCCUCCAUCCGACUGCCUGGCCUCAAGCUGGGAGGAGGACCCCUGGGGAUGCAGCAUAUUUUAAGAUGUUGGUUUUAGGCAUGGACAUUUGAAUGAGCAGAAUGUGUGGGCUGCAGGCUGGGGUGGGAGAACCGAUGUCCGCAGGGCAAGAGAAUGCUGGUCUCUCUUGCCCUGCGGACAUCGCCAGGAGGCUCUUCCUGCGGCCAUUGUGAUUUUUAGGGUCAGAAAAUUAUUUGGAAAUAUUUUUUAUUCUGCAAAUAUUUUCUAUACAUUUUUUCUUGAGUGUUUUCCCUUAGUAUUUAGUAAAACUUCUUUUGAAAAUGCUGGCCUGCUGCACCUGUUCUCAGAGGGGCAUGAGAAAAGAGGAUUCUCUUCCUAGGGCUGUGGGAAGCCCCUUGAGAUGUUGGAAGCAGGGCAGGGCAGGAGAACCCAGGGAGGGCACAGAGCUGUGGACGAGGGCUGGGAAAGCCAUCCCGCCUCCCCAGGGGGUCUCCGAGGAGUGCUGCUGUGGCCAAACCAGGGGGGCCACUUUGUGCUUUCUGUUUAGGUGAUGGGAUGCUUCUAUCUCCUCAGCACCCCACACCAAAUCCCCUGUUAUUGCCAGAUGAUGUGCCUAAUGAUCAAAUUGCUUGGAACUCCUAAUAAUAAAACUUUAAAUCUAUCCAUUC